UGAGCAAAUGGGUGUCUGCCCUUGAUGCU
rnacentral:piRNA from 1 species